ACCGAAGUAGCUCAGUUGGGAGAGCGUUAAACUGUAGAUCGAAAAGUCCCUGGAUCGAUCCCGGGUUCCGGCA
rnacentral:tRNA from 1 species